rnacentral:rRNA from 1 species
CUACGGGGCGCACCAGUAGGGAAUCUUCCACAAUGGGCGAAAGCCUGAUGGAGCAACGCCGCGUGAGUGAAGAAGGUUUUCGGAUCGUAAAACUCUGUUGUAAGGGAAGAACAAGUACAGAAGUAACUGGCUGUACCUUGACGGUACCUUAUUAGAAAGCCACGGCUAACUACGUGCCAGCAGCCGCGGUAAUACGUAGGUGGCAAGCGUUGUCCGGAAUUAUUGGGCGUAAAGCGCGCGCAGGCGGUCCUUUAAGUCUGAUGUGAAAGCCCACGGCUCAACCGUGGAGGGUCAUUGGAAACUGGGGGACUUGAGUGCAGAAGAGGAAAGUGGAAUUCCAAGUGUAGCGGUGAAAUGCGUAGAGAUUUGGAGGAACACCAGUGGCGAAGGCGACUUUCUGGUCUGUAACUGACGCUGAGGCGCGAAAGCGUGGGGAGCAAACAGGAUUAGAUACCCCUGUAGUC